CAGGUGCUGGGCUGAGGUCUGGGGAGCAAGUGUCUCGAGGGCUGACUGAGAAUGAAGCAAGCAAUAAUCGUGGAGGACGGGACAUGCCAGGCUCUCUGCAGGCUUACAACCUGGCGUGGGUCCUUGUGUGAAGUGGGUCAGUCCAGCAAACGAACCCUGUGUUUGACUGCCCGGAUCGGGUGCCUCAGACUGUUGUGGUGCUGACAGAUUGAUGAAGACAGACGCUCUGACAUAAAGAGCCUUGGGCGUAGGAGGACCAAGAGAACCUAAUGCAUGAAGCUGCUCAUGGCUGUUCCUUCACCAUGAAAAGCAAAAACAAACGUCCCUCCUUCCUUUUCAUCCCAUUAAUUUCAGAGCAGCUGAUAGCAAACCCCAACUCCAGGAGUAACGCCAGUAGGCAGGGACCCAAGUUGCUCCAGUGAGAAUCAUCCCGGGACUUUUGAUGGUUUAGAGCAUGCAGCUACCUGAAGGGUACACUCUGGGCCCUUAGAAUACCCCCCUCAAAAAACAACCAACCAACCUCACAGCCCACUUCUUUGAUGCCUCAGGUUAUAGAGUCAGAAUUUAGUUUCUUCGAUGUAAGAUUUUGGUUAAGAUACAGAAACUUCUCUCUGGAGAAUGACAGGGAGCCUUGUUAAAUCAUUCAGACCUGAGUAUGAACAAGCAUCAGCUUUUCACUGGACAGGAGGGUCUGGUUAGGGGACAGAGCACAGAGGCCUUGAGGGAAGGUAACAUGAUGGGCGGAAAGGAGAAGAAUGGAGAAACAAAGUCCACCUUUGCUGCCUUCCCAUGUUCAGCUGUCUCCUGACUGUGGCUUGGGGGCAGGCCUCUGCUUGUCUCUCCAGAGCUGCCCCUGAAGCCAGUAUGCCACCUCUGCCCUGAUGCAGUCUGGGGACAGCAGGCCACCGGCUCACCUGCUUUCAGCCUCUGAUGUGGCUGAGAUGACAUCCCCACUACCUGUGGCCUUGUGCCUGGCCCAGACUGCACUCUGCCACCCAACCCUGCUCCUCACCUGCUACACCUGGCCUUGCUUGCGCUUGAUCCGGACCAGUAAAGACAAAGGGCCAUGUGGGCUGGGGGAAGGCGGGGGUGAAGCCCAGACGCUGAGGCUGGAAACAGUAGGCACAUGCAGGUUCUGGAAGGACAUGGUCCUGAUGGGGAAGGUCCACAGCCCAGGGGGUCCUGACUCCAUGCCCUGAGUUCUGGCUCCCACGAAUCUCUCUCUUCCAAAUACGUGCCAAGGUCCCGCCCUGGCUUAGAGUCUAGCAUGGUAAGCAUUUGCGGGUUUUGCCAGUCAGCAUUUGUAUUGUAGUACCCGAAUUUUCUUUUGAGGAACAAUCCCUCCUUCAUUCUUAGUCUGUAUGAUUUUAGGAGGGCUCAUCUUAUCCCAGACUCCUGGAGUUACCAGUCAGUAUAGUCCAGCCAUGGGCAUGUGACCCAAGAUGGUCCAGUGAGAAUCAGUUGGGGACUUUUGGUGGAACCACCAGAAAGAGAAGUGCUCUUUCUACAGGGCCUGCUAACUCAUAAACUGUAAGCCCCAACUUGCUAGGAAGUAUCUUUGCACAUUCCCAUCACCAUUUGGGGAAAGCCUAUAUAAGAAUGAAGUCACCAGAGAGGAAAGCAAAGCUGAGAGCUAGAGAGACAUAUGAUUUGGUCACCUAGAUCCAGCCAUGCCUGAAACCAUUACCCCUGACGUUUUCAGUUAUGUGAGUCAAUAAAUUUCCUCUUUUUUCUUAAACCA